GAUGGAUUACAUAGGCCAGAGCAGAGUUAUCUGAGGCAUCAUUCCCAGAAUUUCUCGUCUUCCCAAUAGUGCUAUACUUCUCUGAGGAGUCCUUAAAUGAUUUGAGAGCUUGCAGUUCAGCACAUAUCAUCAGUGCCAAGCAGUCAAUGCAUCCAUGUUGUGCUUUGGAAACUUCAUCCCCAUCUAAAGACGGCCACAACACAACUGUUUCUAUUGUUUUCCUGAUUUGAAGAAUUGCAGGAUGAGAAACUGAAUCACUCCCUCUAACCAUAAGAGAAGAGCAAAUGGCAAAUAGACAAGCUUUUAUCCUUAGUAUAUCGUGAGAAAUUGCAGCAUGUUCUAAUAAGGAGGAAACAAUCGUAAGGAGCACCUGAGGAUGAAUGCGGCCACAGAGCUCAGCAGCAAGUUUUCUUACAUCUUCAAAUUCGUACUUAUUAAACGCCCUCUGUAGAAGGAAUGCAGCAACACACUCAUCAACAACAUUGAUAUCUUCCCAUUCAUGAGAAAUGCCUUGGAUGGGAAGUUGACCGUACAUAGUAUGAGAAUUCAGGUCAUCAAAAACUCCCAAUGGAAGCAUCCGAAUGAUAAGUAAUGGACAAAGGCGCUCAAAUAAAGAUUGUUCCAUUUUC
rnacentral:misc_RNA from 1 species